AGUCGAGAGUCUUUGGGACUCGGCGAACUGCUCAGUAAUAUGUGGUUAAUCUGCCCAAAAGUCUGGAAUAACUUCGGGAAACUGAAGAUAAUAUCGGAUAGAUAUUCUGGUCUGGAAUGAUAGAAUGUCAAAAGCUUUUGCGCUUUUGGAUGAAACCAUAUCUUAUCAGCUAGUUGGGGGUGUAAUGGACCCCCAAGGCUAUUACGAGUACGGGCCAUGAGAGUGGAUGCCCGGAGAUGGAUUCUGAGACAUGAAUCCAGGCCCUACGGGGCGCAGCAGGCGCGGAACCUCUACAAUGCAUGAAAAUGUGAUAAGGGGAUCCCGAGUGCCAUAGCAUUGCUAUGGCUUUUGUCAAGUUAAAAUCGCUUGGCGAAUAAGAGAUGGGUAAGACGGGUGCCAGCCGCCGCGGUAAUACCCGCGUCUCGAGUGGUGCUCACUUUUAUUGGGUUUAAAGCGUCCGUAGCCGGUUUAGUAAGUUUUUGGUGAAAUUCCAUGGCAAACUAUGGAGCUUGCCAAAAAUACUGCUGAACUUGGGACCGGGAGAGGGUAGAGGUACUCCUGAGGAAGGGGUAAAAUCCUAUAAUCUCAGGAUGACCACCGGUGGCGAAGGCGUCUACCUGGAACGGGUCCGACGGUGAUGGACGAAACCUAGGGGAGCGAUCGGGAUUAGAUACCCCGGUAGUCCUAGGCGUAAACGAUGCCCAUUUGGUGUUACAUGCCUUACGAGGGUAUGUAGUAUCGGAGUGUAAACGUUAAAUGGGCCACCUGAGGAGUACGGUCGCAAGGCUAAAACUAAGGAAUG
rnacentral:rRNA from 1 species